UACGGAGGGUGCAAGCGUUAUCCGGAUUCACUGGGUUUAAAGGGUGCGCAGGUGGGUUGCCAAGUCCGUGGUGAAAUCCCCGAGCUUAACUCGGGAACUGCCGUGGAUACUGGUAGCCUUGAAUGUCGUGGAGGUAAGCGGAAUAUGUCAUGUAGCGGUGAAAUGCUUAGAUAUGACAUAGAACACCGAUAGCGAAGGCAGCUUACUACACGAUUAUUGACACUGAGGCACGAAAGCGUGGGGAGCAAACAGG
rnacentral:misc_RNA from 1 species